rnacentral:rRNA from 1 species
UUUGGUUAAGUUAGAAAGGGCGCACGGUGGAUGCCUUGACACUAGGAGUCGAUGAAGGACGGGACUAACGCCGAUAUGCUUCGGGGAGCUGUAAGUAAGCUUUGAUCCGAAGAUUUCCGAAUGGGGAAACCCACCAUACGUAAUGGUAUGGUAUCCUUAUCUGAAUACAUAGGGUAAGGAAGACAGACCCAGGGAACUGAAACAUCUAAGUACCUGGAGGAAGAGAAAGCAAAUGCGAUUUCCUGAGUAGCGGCGAGCGAAACGGAACAUAGCCCAAACCAAGAGGCUUGCCUCUUGGGGUUGUAGGACAUUCUAUACGGAGUUACAAAGGAACGAGGUAGACGAAGCGACCUGGAAAGGUCCGUCGUAGAGGGUAACAACCCCGUAGUCGAAACUUCGUUCUCUCUUGAAUGUAUCCUGAGUACGGCGGAACACGUGAAAUUCCGUCGGAAUCUGGGAGGACCAUCUCCCAAGGCUAAAUACUCCCUAGUGAUCGAUAGUGAACCAGUACCGUGAGGGAAAGGUGAAAAGCACCCCGGAAGGGGAGUGAAAGAGAUCCUGAAACCGUGUGCCUACAAAUAGUCAGAGCCCGUUAACGGGUGAUGGCGUGCCUUUUGUAGAAUGAACCGGCGAGUUACGAUCCCGUGCGAGGUUAAGCUGAAGAGGCGGAGCCGCAGCGAAAGCGAGUCUGAAUAGGGCGUUUAGUACGUGGUCGUAGACCCGAAACCAGGUGAUCUACCCAUGUCCAGGGUGAAGUUCAGGUAACACUGAAUGGAGGCCCGAACCCACGCACGUUGAAAAGUGCGGGGAUGAGGUGUGGGUAGCGGAGAAAUUCCAAUCGAACCUGGAGAUAGCUGGUUCUCCCCGAAAUAGCUUUAGGGCUAGCCUUAAGUGUAAGAGUCUUGGAGGUAGAGCACUGAUUGGACUAGGGGUCCUCAUCGGAUUACCGAAUUCAGUCAAACUCCGAAUGCCAAUGACUUAUCCUUAGGAGUCAGACUGCGAGUGAUAAGAUCCGUAGUCAAAAGGGAAACAGCCCAGACCGCCAGCUAAGGUCCCAAAGUGUGUAUUAAGUGGAAAAGGAUGUGGAGUUGCUUAGACAACUAGGAUGUUGGCUUAGAAGCAGCCACCAUUUAAAGAGUGCGUAAUAGCUCACUAGUCGAGUGACUCUGCGCCGAAAAUGUACCGGGGCUAAAUACACCACCGAAGCUGCGGAUUGAUACCAAUGGUAUCAGUGGUAGGGGAGCGUUCUAAGGACAGUGAAGUCAGACCGGAAGGACUGGUGGAGUGCUUAGAAGUGAGAAUGCCGGUAUGAGUAGCGAAAGACGGGUGAGAAUCCCGUCCACCGAAUGCCUAAGGUUUCCUGAGGAAGGCUCGUCCGCUCAGGGUUAGUCAGGACCUAAGCCGAGGCCGACAGGCGUAGGCGAUGGACAACAGGUUGAUAUUCCUGUACCACCUCUUUAUCGUUUGAGCAAUGGAGGGACGCAGAAGGAUAGAAGAAGCGUGCGAUUGGUUGUGCACGUCCAAGCAGUUAGGCUGAUAAGUAGGCAAAUCCGCUUAUCGUAAAGGCUGAGCUGUGAUGGGGAAGCUCCUUAUGGAGCGAAGUCUUUGAUUCCCCGCUGCCAAGAAAAGCUUCUAGCGAGAUAAAAGGUGCCUGUACCGCAAACCGACACAGGUAGGCGAGGAGAGAAUCCUAAGGUGUGCGAGAGAACUCUGGUUAAGGAACUCGGCAAAAUGACCCCGUAACUUCGGGAGAAGGGGUGCUUUCUUAACGGAAAGCCGCAGUGAAUAGGCCCAAGCGACUGUUUAGCAAAAACACAGCUCUCUGCGAAGCCGUAAGGCGAAGUAUAGGGGGUGACACCUGCCCGGUGCUGGAAGGUUAAGGAGAGGGGUUAGCGUAAGCGAAGCUCUGAACUGAAGCCCCAGUAAACGGCGGCCGUAACUAUAACGGUCCUAAGGUAGCGAAAUUCCUUGUCGGGUAAGUUCCGACCCGCACGAAAGGUGUAACGAUUUGGGCACUGUCUCAACCAGAGACUCGGUGAAAUUAUAGUACCUGUGAAGAUGCAGGUUACCCGCGACAGGACGGAAAGACCCCGUGGAGCUUUACUGUAGCCUGAUAUUGAAUUUUGGUACAGUUUGUACAGGAUAGGCGGGAGCCAUUGAAACCGGAGCGCUAGCUUCGGUGGAGGCGCUGGUGGGAUACCGCCCUGACUGUAUUGAAAUUCUAACCUACGGGUCUUAUCGACCCGGGAGACAGUGUCAGGUGGGCAGUUUGACUGGGGCGGUCGCCUCCUAAAGUGUAACGGAGGCGCCCAAAGGUUCCCUCAGAAUGGUUGGAAAUCAUUCGUAGAGUGCAAAGGCAUAAGGGAGCUUGACUGCGAGACCUACAAGUCGAGCAGGGACGAAAGUCGGGCUUAGUGAUCCGGUGGUUCCGCAUGGAAGGGCCAUCGCUCAACGGAUAAAAGCUACCCCGGGGAUAACAGGCUUAUCUCCCCCAAGAGUCCACAUCGACGGGGAGGUUUGGCACCUCGAUGUCGGCUCAUCGCAUCCUGGGGCUGUAGUCGGUCCCAAGGGUUGGGCUGUUCGCCCAUUAAAGCGGUACGCGAGCUGGGUUCAGAACGUCGUGAGACAGUUCGGUCCCUAUCCGUCGUGGGCGUAGGAAAUUUGAGAGGAGCUGUCCUUAGUACGAGAGGACCGGGAUGGACGCACCGCUGGUGUACCAGUUGUUCUGCCAAGGGCAUAGCUGGGUAGCUAUGUGCGGAAGGGAUAAGUGCUGAAAGCAUCUAAGCAUGAAGCCCCCCUCAAGAUGAGAUUUCCCAUAGCGUAAGCUAGUAAGAUCCCUGAAAGAUGAUCAGGUUGAUAGGUUCGAGGUGGAAGCAUGGUGACAUGUGGAGCUGACGAAUACUAAUAGAUCG